rnacentral:snRNA from 1 species
AUUGCUUCUCGGCCUUUUGGCUAAGAUCAAGUGUAAAAACUUUCAAAACUAUAUUUGCUAGUUACAUAUUGUUUCAACAGUUUUAAGGUAAGUUUUCAUUUGGAAACAUGAAUGCCCACCACACAAA